rnacentral:rRNA from 1 species
GUAGGUGGCAAGCGUUGUCCGGAAUUAUUGGGCGUAAAGCGCGCGCAGGCGGUUCUUUAAGUCUGAUGUGAAAGCCCACGGCUCAACCGUGGAGGGUCAUUGGAAACUGGAGAACUUGAGUACAGAAGAGGAAAGCGGAAUUCCACGUGUAGCGGUGAAAUGCGUAGAGAUGUGGAGGAACACCAGUGGCGAAGGCGGCUUUCUGGUCUGUAACUGACGCUGCGGCGCGAAAGCGUGGGGAGCAAACAGGAUUAGAUACCCUGGUAGUCCACGCCGUAAACGAUGAGUGCUAAGUGUUAGGGGGUUUCCGCCCCCCUUAGUGCUGCAGCUAACGCAUUAAGCACUCCGCCUGGGAGUACGGCCGCAAGGCUG